UACGGGGGGGGCAAGCGUUGUUCGGAAUUACUGGGCGUAAAGGGCUCGUAGGCGGCCAACUAAGUCAGACGUGAAAUCCCCGGGCUUAACCUGGGAACUGCAUUUGUGACUGCAUCGCUGGAGUGCGGCAGAGGGGGAUGGAAUUCCGCGUGUAGCAGUGAAAUGCGUAGAUAUGCGGAGGAACACCGAUGGCGAAGGCAAUCCCCUGGGCCUGCACUGACGCUCAUGCACGAAAGCGUGGGGAGCAAACAGG
rnacentral:rRNA from 1 species